rnacentral:tRNA from 2 species
AGAUUAUAUGUAAUGGAUUUAAACCCCAUUUAUAAAGGAUUAUCCUUUUUUUAG